CUCUCUGUAGCUUAGUUGGUUAGAGCUCGACGACUGUCUCUCUGACAAGCUCAGUUUGGUCAGAGAGCUGCACCGGAAUCGCAGGGCCGCAGGUUCGAUUCCUACCAGAGAGC